rnacentral:rRNA from 1 species
CUGGCGGCGUGCCUAAUACAUGCAAGUCGAACGGUCUUUCUAUGGAAGCUUGCUUCCACUGAGAAGAUAGUGGCGAACGGGUGAGUAACACGUGGGUAACCUGCCCAUAAGAGGGGGAUAACGAUCCGGAAACGGGUGCUAAUACCGCAUAGUUUUCUUGAUCGCAUGAUCGGGAAAGGAAAGACGGCCUUUGUGCUGUCGCUUAUGGAUGGACCCGCGGCGUAUUAGUUAGUUGGUGAGGUAACGGCUCACCAAGACGAUGAUACGUAGCCGACCUGAGAGGGUGAUCGGCCACAUUGGGACUGAGACACGGCCCAAACUCCUACGGGAGGCAGCAGUAGGGAAUCUUCCGCAAUGGACGAAAGUCUGACGGAGCAACGCCGCGUGAGUGAAGAAAGGUUUUCGGAUCGUAAAACUCUGUUGUCAGAGAAGAACAAGUUGGAGAGUAACUGCUCCAGCCUUGACGGUAUCUGACCAGAAAGCCACGGCUAACUACGUGCCAGCAGCCGC